rnacentral:rRNA from 1 species
GGGAUAUUGCACAAUGGAGGAAACUCUGAUGCAGCAACGCCGCGUGAGGGAAGAAGGUUUUCGGAUUGUAAACCUCUGUUUUUAGUGACGAAACAAAUGACGGUAGCUAAAGAGGAAGCCACGGCUAACUACGUGCCAGCAGCCGCGGUAAUACGUAGGUGGCAAGCGUUGUCCGGAUUUACUGGGUGUAAAGGGUGCGCAGGCGGGAUUGCAAGUUGGAUGUGAAAUACCGGGGCUUAACCCCGGAACUGCAUCCAAAACUGUAGUUCUUGAGUGGAGCAGAGGUAAGCGGAAUUCCGAGUGUAGCGGUGAAAUGCGUAGAUAUUCGGAGGAACACCAGUGGCGAAGGCGGCUUACUGGGCUCUAACUGACGCUGAGGCACGAAAGUGUGGGUAGCAAACA